rnacentral:rRNA from 3 species
AGCCUGAUCCAUGCCAUGUGCCGCGUGGAUGAAGAAGGCCCUAGGUUUGUAAAGUCCUUUCGAUGGUGAAGAUAUAUGACGGUAACCAUACAAGAAGCCCCGGGUUAAUUUCGUUGCCAGCAGCCGCGGUAAUACGAAAGGGGCUAGCGUUGUUCGGAAUUACUGGGCGUAAAGCGCACGUAGGCGGCAAUGUAAGUUGGGGGUGUAAAUCCCGGGGCUCAACCCCGGUAACUGCCUCCAAGAACUACAUAGCUAGAGGAUGUGAGAGGUAUAGUGGAAUUCCGAGUGUAGAGGUGAAAUUCGUAGAUAUUCGGAAGAACACCAGUGGCGAAGGCGACUGUCUGGCACAUUUGCUGGACGCUGAGGUGCGAAAGCGUGGGGAGCAAACAGGAUUAGAUACCCCUGGUAGUCCACGCCGUAAACGAUGAGGGCUAGUUGUCGGGCAGCAUGCUGUUCGGUGACGCAGCUAACGCAUUAAGCCCUCCGCCUGGGGAGUACGGUCGCAAGAUUAAAACUCAAAGGAAUUGACGG